GUUUCGAUGUUUAAGUACAACUCGAUAACAUCUUAUAUCAACAUUAAUUGAGUUGUACAAAAUAACAUAAAUCUUUCGGAUUUUCAUGAAGGCCACAUACAUCUGUCUUUUAAUAAAGACAUGCAUAUUUGGCAAUAAUUGGAUGUUUUUUUAUCAUUGCUAAAAUUUAAAUACUUCAAAUUAAAUAAUCUAAUUAUCUAGUAUCAAUUUAUUAAAUUUUCAUUAGUGCCUCUUCAUCAACAUCCUUGAGAAAUUUAUAAAUGUGAAAUGAUGCGUGCAGACAAAUUCUAUCUGUCUAAUGGUAUAUGAAAACAACAUCUACACUGUUAAGCAAUUCGUUGACAUCAGAAAAUAUGGUGAAAAUAUAAUCUUAUUAAAAUACAUAUUCUAUGUCCACAAUUUGAAAUCAAAAGAUCUGACAAAACUCUGUUCUAGUUUCUUUUUUUAAAGACAUGACAGGAUUCUGAUUGUUCAGUUAUACAACUUAAAAUCUGUCGACAAGAAUUCCAUUGGCUGAUAUAAAAAUUACGACGAUUGAAAGCAGAACGGAGUGGUCUCUAAUCCUUGUAAACCAAGUUUUGGGCAUAGGAUAUGUAUGUUAAUCAGAUUGUUAAAAAAUAGGAACUUCAUUUUACUAUAUCUCUCUAAAUGCAUACCCGUCAUUUGUUCAAAAUUUCGUUGAGAUCAUUGUGGCAAGGCAAGAUUUCGUUUUUUAUUACUGUUAAUUCAGAAAUUAUUGAGAGAAAUGCGACAGAGUUGUAAACGCAAUAAUUAAAACUUGCAUUUUGAAAUAUUUUGUAUGAAUUAAACAGGAUUUUUCUCAAAAUCGUAAAAAUUAAAAUCGCAUUUAAGUCUAAAAUGACAAAAUGGCAAUAAUAAAUGCAUGCAAUAAUUUCUGAAUGUACAGUAUUUUUGAUAUCAUUAAGUCCCAAUAUUUAUACAAAAUGAUAUGUAACAGCAUAUCACUGUUAAUUCUUACAUAGAGAAAUGCUCUCAUUUAUUUUCUUUUCUUUCCUUGCAAAGACAAAUAUGUCUCAUGUUCUAACCAAUCUUUUUACAAUGUACAAUAAAAAAAAGACUGUAUGGUGACCUAUUAUUGUUCACUUCUACUUAAUGUGUUCUAUUGUGGGGAGUUGUCUCAUUGGCUAUCAUACCAUAACUUAUUUUUACAGAAGCUGAGUUACCUCCAAUAAUAACAGGGAUACAGUUUAAAAUGUUCCUUCCCUGACAAUGGCUAAGGGGGGACAAUUCUUUUUUUACUACAGAAGCUCAACAAACCAAGCUUAAUGUCAUUUCAAAAACCAGACAAAUAUUAAAUGCUAGCUUCUUCACUAUAUUGUUACCACAAGAAAAUUAAAAUUUAUUUUUGACUGGGCAUAAAACAUGGCUGAAAAUGUACUACAAUGUAUGUCAAUGCACAGAAAUACUUCAUGAAAAAAG
rnacentral:lncRNA from 1 species